UUUGAGUUUUUUUUUUUAAGAAUUUCUCUUACGUUUCUUUUAGAAGAGUUUUAGCAAUCUUUUCAGAUUAUAGGGAUCAUCUUCAAAUUUUUUUUCUUGCUAAGUUUUCUUUUUUGGAGGGGAAAUUAGAGCCGCUUGAAGGGGGUUGUGAAUUCUUCUUGUUUUCAAGGCUUCUUAGGACUUCUACAUAUCACGUUUUAUAUUUCCAUCUAUCUUCUUUAUUUUCAUUUUUAUUGUUUCUAAUAGUAGAUUUAUUAUUCCAUUUUAAUUAUUUUAGUUAUUUAUUUUAAUUGUUUUAUCUAACUUGAAUUUUACUGUGUUUCAAGUUGUGUCAAAAAUUCAAGCUUCUUUCUGAACGACUAAAGCUUUAAGUCAAAUCCGCGACUUUGACAAAUUUUAAUCAUCCGCUUCUGCAUUCAUUCAUCUCAUUCUUUAUCAGAAGAAUAGCGAUUAUUGUUUGGGCGCUUUGGCAAUCUCGUAAUAAAUAGGUGAUGGAAGGCAAAAGACAGACAACCCAGGAUAUUAGCACAAAAGUUGAGAGCCUUAUAAGAGAACUUGAUGAGAUUAAGAUGAAAUUACCUUAACAAAAUGAGACCAUGAAAUCCCAGUGGAAGCCUCCAUAAAAAGUCCAAAUGUUAAGGUGAACUUUGAUGCAGCGUUCAAGCCAAAUCUCCGCCAGUCAUGGUUAGGUUUUGUAAUAAAAAAUAAAGCUGGCCUUGUUUUGGGAAGGGGGUGAGGAGAAAUACAUAUGUAGCAACUGCUUUUUCUGCUGAAGCAUUAGCCUGCGUCCAAGCUUUAGAAUUUGCGAUGAAAAUGGGUUUACAACAUACCGAGAUGGAAGGAGAUUCAAGAACUACGAUUGUUAAGGCUCAAAAAUGGGCUCUGGAUAGACCUGAAAUAGGGAUUCACAUAGAAGAGAUUAAAAGAUUGGCAACUAAGUUUCAUUUUAUCUAUUUUCAGUAUAUUGAUACAGAAGCAAAUGGAGUAGCUCAUACAAUAGCUAAAGCAGGAUUUCCCUUAACUGAAAAUCAUUUCUAGGUUGAAGAAGUACCUAAAUCGGCGAUGGAAGUAGUGAAUCGAGAUCGAUGGCUUUUGGGCUUUCCUGGUUAAAACUUCUUGGAACUUAUUUGCAGAAUUCGUGCAACAGAUCAUCAGAAGGAAAGGUUUCUAGGCUUUAUUGUUUUUUUGGUAGGUGAUGGGUUUCUAGCAGUGAAAAUAUCUUCUAUUUCUCUGCGAAAUGCACUGAGACUUUAUUUUUACUGUUUUGCUAGUUUAAAUGUGGCCAAUUUACUCUAAUAAUAUAAAAGAAUAAUUUCUUAAA